rfam:Heterocephalus glaber contig82665, whole genome shotgun sequence.
UGAUGUGAGGACCAUCUGGCAGCAACAUCUGUCACUCCGUUGAUUGCCAGGGUUGAUUGGCUGAUCUGGCUGGCUGGGCGGGUGUCCCCUCCCUGCCUCACUGGUCCAUGUGCGUCCCUCCCGAAGCUGCGUGCUCCGUGGAAGGCAACGACCACCCCCGAUAGAGGAGGACCGUUUCCUUGAUCAACGGUAUAGGACUAGCUGUGCUCACCUGCUAGAACUUGCCAGCAAGCUCUCAAUAUGGAUUUUACUCUUAGCUUGAGGAGCCACAGAAGGAUUUUAGGCCCAGAGCAACUUGAUCACUGACCUGUGUAU